AUUCACUGUGAAAUUGUAACAAAGUGUAAGAGAUUUUUGAAAUUUUGCACAUCAAUUAAAAUACUCUAUUCUGUAAUAUUUAAUUUUCCGCGUGUUUCUUUGGGGUUUUUUCUCUCUCUUGUGGAGUAUAUAUUUAAAUUAAUUCGGUAUUUUCCAUCAUUGGAAAAGAGAGAGAGAAAAAAUCAUUCGAGUGUUGAGGAAAUGAACGAAUGGGAGUCAUAAGAGAGGAGAAAAAAUCAUCGUGAUCUGGAUGAAAAUUUCUUGAAAUCUCUCUCACUCAUCUGCUAUAUAGAAUUCCCUAUGUAUGGACGUUUUGGGUUACAUAAAAAGACGGUUACGCGCAGCCUGCAUACACAUAGGGUGCAAUUAUCGAAGACAAAUAUAGGAUGAGAAAUUGCAUAAAAUAGCACACACAAGAGAUGAAGAAGCUUUGCUUGCACACAUAGCACAGGAACGGGAUGUUGGCAAAAGAAGCAACUCUCUCGAAGACACUAAUGAGCGUGAUCUGAAUAAUACAUCCCCAUGAAAAGUGAGAUGCUAAAGUGAGUAUUAAGUUGUUAGUUUACGAUGUUCAAUAUGAUGAUGGUAAUAUGAGUGGUGUACAGAAGAAGAGCGACGAGAUAAGCAUUGUUCUGAUACAUGAUUUUUAUGUGAUUUUUCUGUUAACCACGACCUAGAAGAAUAUUUGCAAGAAAAUACUUCAAAGGGUAAUUAAAGUUUUAUUAGAGAACCAUUAAAUAAUUGUGUCAUUUGCAAAUACUUUUAAUUUAUUCGAAUCAUUAAAAAAAACUCUUUUUUUUGCAUAAGAUAGCAAAGGAGUUUAUUCAUUUUCAUAUUAUGAAAUAUAACCUUUCUACAGGAUUUUCUGAAAGAUUUUUAUUUGAAAAUUUUGUAAAUUCUUGUGCGAAAAAUUCCCAUAAAAACUGAAAUGAAAUAGCGAUGAGGAAAAGAAAUUUGUUGAAAUAUUGCAAAGAAAAUUAUGCGUUUUUCGCAUCAGAAUCUAACCACAGAUGGAAAAAAUAAAAAGAAAACAAUAAAAAAUAUUUUAAACUUUGUGUGAUACGUAUGUGGUCCACGAACUAAAAGCAUUAAAUAAAAAUAAAUGAAAUGAAAAA